AACGAACGCUGGCGGCAUGCCUAACACAUGCAAGUCGAACGAGACCUUCGGGUCUAGUGGCGCACGGGUGCGUAACGCGUGGGAACCUGCCCUUAGGUUCGGAAUAACUCCCCGAAAGGGGUGCUAAUACCGGAUAAUGUCUUCGGACCAAAGAUUUAUCGCCUUUGGAUGGGCCCGCGUUGGAUUAGCUAGUUGGUAGGGUAAAAGCCUACCAAGGCGACGAUCCAUAGCUGGUCUGAGAGGAUGAUCAGCCACACUGGGAAUGAGACACGGCCCAGACUCGUACGGGAGGCAGCAGUGGGGAAUAUUGGACAAUGGGCGAAAGCCUGAUACAGCAAUGCCGCGUGAGUGAUGAAGGCCUUAGGGUUGUAAAGCUCUUUUACACGGGAUGAUAAUGACAGUACCGGGAGAAUAAGCUCCGGCUAACUACGUG
rnacentral:rRNA from 1 species